GAUGAACGCUGGCGGCGUGCUUAACACAUGCAAGUCGAACGAUGAAGCCUAGCUUGCUGGGUGGAUUAGUGGCGAACGGGUGAGUAACACGUGAGUAACCUGCCCUUGACUCUAGGAUAAGCCCGGGAAACUGGGUCUAAUACUGGAUAGGAACGUCUACCGCAUGGUGGGUGUUGGAAAGAAUUUCGGUCAUGGAUGGACUCGCGGCCUAUCAGCUUGUUGGUGAGGUAAUGGCUCACCAAGGCGACGACGGGUAGCCGGCCUGAGAGGGUGACCGGCCACACUGGGACUGAGACACGGCCCAGACUCCUACGGGAGGCAGCAGUGGGGAAUAUUGCACAAUGGGCGAAAGCCUGAUGCAGCGACGCCGCGUGAGGGAUGACGGCCUUCGGGUUGUAAACCUCUUUCAGUAGGGAAGAAGCGAAAGUGACGGUACCUGCAGAAGAAGCACCGGCUAACUACGUG
rnacentral:rRNA from 1 species